GAUGAACGCUGGCGGCGUGCCUAAUACAUGCAAGUUGAGCGAUGAAGAUUGGUGCUUGCACCAAUUUGAAGAGCAGCGAACGGGUGAGUAACGCGUGGGGAAUCUGCCUUUGAGCGGGGGACAACAUUUGGAAACGAAUGCUAAUACCGCAUAACAACUUUAAACAUAAGUUUUAAGUUUGAAAGAUGCAAUUGCAUCACUCAAAGAUGAUCCCGCGUUGUAUUAGCUAGUUGGUGAGGUAAAGGCUCACCAAGGCGAUGAUACAUAGCCGACCUGAGAGGGUGAUCGGCCACAUUGGGACUGAGACACGGCCCAAACUCCUACGGGAGGCAGCAGUAGGGAAUCUUCGGCAAUAGACGAAAGUCUGACCGAGCAACGCCGCGUGAGUGAAGAAGGUUUUCGGAUCGUAAAACUCUGUUGGUAGAGAAGAACGUUGGUGAGAGUGGAAAGCUCAUCAAGUGACGGUAACUACCCAGAAAGGGACGGCUAACUACGUG
rnacentral:rRNA from 1 species